GGGUUGUGAGGUUAAGCGACCAAGCGUACACGGUGGAUGCCUAGGCAGUCAGAGGCGAUGAAGGGCGUGCUAAUCUGCGAAAAGCGUCGGCAAGGUGAUAUGAACCGUUACACCCGACGAUACCCGAAUGGGGAAACCCAGUGUGUUUCGACACACUAUCAUGGCAUGAAUACAUAGUGUCAUGAGGCGAACCGGGGGAACUGAAACAUCUCAGUACCCCGAGGAAAAGAAAUCAACCGAGAUUCCCCCAGUAGCGGCGAGCGAACGGGGAGGAGCCCAGAACCUGAAUCGGCUUGUGUGUCAGUGGAAGCGUCUGGAAAGUCGCACGAUACAGGGUGAAAGUCCCGUACACGAAGAGGCACAGACCGUGAGUUCGAUGAGUAGGGCGGGACACGUGGUAUCCUGUCUGAACAUGGGGGGACCAUCCUCCAAGGCUAAAUACUCCUGACUGACCGAUAGUGAACCAGUACCGUGAGGGAAAGGCGAAAAGAACCCCGGCGAGGGGAGUGAAACAGAACCUGAAACCGUGUACGUACAAGCAGUGGGAGCCCUGAUUUAUCAGGGUGACUGCGUACCUUUUGUAUAAUGGGUCAGCGACUUAUAUUCUGUAGCAAGGUUAACCGAAUAGGGGAGCCGCAGGGAAACCGAGUCUUAACUGGGCGUUAAGUUGCAGGGUAUAGACCCGAAACCCGGUGAUCUAGCCAUGGGCAGGUUGAAGGUUGGGUAACACUAACUGGAGGACCGAACCGACUAAUGUUGAAAAAUUAGCGGAUGACUUGUGGCUGGGGGUGAAAGGCCAAUCAAACCGGGAGAUAGCUGGUUCUCCCCGAAAGCUAUUUAGGUAGCGCCUCGUGAAUUCAUCUUCGGGGGUAGAGCACUGUUUCGGCUAGGGGGCCAUCCCGGCUUACCAACCCGAUGCAAACUGCGAAUACCGAAGAAUGUUAUCACGGGAGACACACGGCGGGUGCUAACGUCCGUCGUGAAGAGGGAAACAACCCAGACCGCCAGCUAAGGUCCCAAAGUCAUGGUUAAGUGGGAAACGAUGUGGGAAGGCCCAGACAGCCAGGAUGUUGGCUUAGAAGCAGCCAUCAUUUAAAGAAAGCGUAAUAGCUCACUGGUCGAGUCGGCCUGCGCGGAAGAUGUAACGGGGCUAAAACCAUGCACCGAAGCUGCGGCAGCGAACGUAUCACCCAAGACAACUUUGCGGAGUUGAAUAACGAUUGACGGAGCGAAGCGACGUCAAAGCGUCCACAACGUCGAGUUGGCUUAGGGAUACGUUCGUUGGGUAGGGGAGCGUUCUGUAAGCCGUCGAAGGUGGCCUGUGAGGGCUGCUGGAGGUAUCAGAAGUGCGAAUGCUGACAUAAGUAACGAUAAUGCGGGUGAAAAACCCGCACGCCGGAAGACCAAGGGUUCCUGUCCAACGUUAAUCGGGGCAGGGUGAGUCGACCCCUAAGGCGAGGCUGAAAAGCGUAGUCGAUGGGAAACAGGUUAAUAUUCCUGUACUCGGUGUUACUGCGAAGGGGGGACGGAGACGGCUAUGUCAUCCGGGCGACGGUUGUCCCGGUUUAAGCGUGCAGGUGGGUGGACCAGGCAAAUCCGGUCUGCUAUCAACACUGAGGCGUGAUGACGAGGCACUACGGUGCUGAAGUGACAGAUGCCCUGCUUCCAGGAAAAGCCUCUAAGCAUCAGGUAACAGUGAAUCGUACCCCAAACCGACACAGGUGGUCAGGUAGAGAAUACUCAGGCGCUUGAGAGAACUCGGGUGAAGGAACUAGGCAAAAUGGUGCCGUAACUUCGGGAGAAGGCACGCUGGGCAUGGUGAAGUCCCCUGCGGACGGAGCUGGGCCCAGUCGCAGAUACCAGCUGGCUGCAACUGUUUAAUAAAAACACAGCACUGUGCAAACACGAAAGUGGACGUAUACGGUGUGACGCCUGCCCGGUGCCGGAAGGUUAAUUGAUGGGGUUAUCCGCAAGGAGAAGCUCUUGAUCGAAGCCCCGGUAAACGGCGGCCGUAACUAUAACGGUCCUAAGGUAGCGAAAUUCCUUGUCGGGUAAGUUCCGACCUGCACGAAUGGCGUAAUGAUGGCCAGGCUGUCUCCACCCGAGACUCAGUGAAAUUGAACUCGCUGUGAAGAUGCAGUGUACCCGCGGCAAGACGGAAAGACCCCGUGAACCUUUACUAUAGCUUGACACUGAACCUUGAACCUUGAUGUGUAGGAUAGGUGGGAGGCUGAGAAAUGUGGACGCCAGUCUGCAUGGAGCCGACCUUGAAAUACCACCCUUUAAUGUUUGAUGUUCUAACGUGGGCCCGUGAACCGGGUUGCGGACAGUGUCUGGUGGGUAGUUUGACUGGGGCGGUCUCCUCCCAAAGCGUAACGGAGGAGCACGAAGGUUAGCUAAUCCUGGUCGGACAUCAGGAGGUUAGUGCAAAGGCAUAAGCUAGCUUGACUGCGAGAGUGACGGCUCGAGCAGGUGCGAAAGCAGGUCUUAGUGAUCCGGUGGUUCUGAAUGGAAGGGCCAUCGCUCAACGGAUAAAAGGUACUCCGGGGAUAACAGGCUGAUACCGCCCAAGAGUUCAUAUCGACGGCGGUGUUUGGCACCUCGAUGUCGGCUCAUCACAUCCUGGGGCUGAAGUAGGUCCCAAGGGUAUGGCUGUUCGCCAUUUAAAGUGGUACGCGAGCUGGGUUUAGAACGUCGUGAGACAGUUCGGUCCCUAUCUGCCGUGGGCGUUGGAAGAUUGAGGGGGGUUGCUCCUAGUACGAGAGGACCGGAGUGAACGCACCGCUGGUGUUCGGGUUGUCAUGCCAAUGGCACUGCCCGGUAGCUACGUGCGGAAGAGAUAACCGCUGAAAGCAUCUAAGCGGGAAACUUGCCCCGAGAUGAGUCUUCCCUGGGUCCUUGAGACCCCUGAAGGGACGUUCGAGACGAGGACGUUGAUAGGCUGGGUGUGUAAGCGUAGCGAUACGUUGAGCUAACCAGUACUAAUGACCCGAGAGGCUUAACCUUACAACACCGAAGGUGUUU
rnacentral:rRNA from 1 species